GUGACUUAGUCAAGAACGGACACUUCCAAGGUUUGCUUCGGAAAUCAAAAGUACUCGCUGAAAAUGGAUCCCUGCGACUGUGCUAAGACCGGGACUUGCAACUGCGAUUCAACCUGCAAGUGCACGAACUGUCAGUGUACAUCUUGCAAGAAAAGCUGCUGCUCCUGCUGUCCAUGCCGUUGCAGUACGUGCGCGUCUGGCUGUGUGUGCAAGGCUGAUACUUGUGACUCCACCUGCUGUGAGUGAGGGAGAAGAUCUCUGAAUGACGGCAACGCUGGAAUAAUGUGAAGUUUGUGCACUUAAUGCAGUUUUGUGUACUUACUAUGGCUUCAUAAAUCAGCUCAAGAUGUUGGUCCCUCUGUGGGACAUCCUAAAAACAAAUUUCAGUAAAGUUGCAUCAA